rnacentral:rRNA from 1 species
AGACCUUCUCCAAAAUAUAAGUGUGAGCCGAAAUGAACACCUCACCGGCACAUAACGCAACUGAGUCAAUAGUAAUAAACCCACAAGAAAACUUUACCAAAACACGCGUCAACCUUACACCAGUAUAUUACCGGAAAGAUUAAAAAAGAGGGAAGGAACUCGGCAAAUCUUAACCCCGCCUGUUUACCAAAAACAUCGCCUUUUGAAAAAAUAUAAAAGGUCCAGCCUGCCCAGUGACAAAAUUAAACGGCCGCGGUACCCUGACCGUGCAAAGGUAGCACAAUCACUUGUUCUUUAAAUAGGGACUAGUAUGAACGGCAUCACGAGGGUUAUACUGUCUCCCCUCUCUGAUCAAUGAAACUGACCUCCCCGUGAAGAGGCGGGGAUAAUAAUAUAAGACGAGAAGACCCCAUGGAGCUUAAAAAUCAGCACCAACUACCUAACCCCACACCACCCCAAUCCCGGUAGCCAUGGUCCCUGACUUUCGGUUGGGGCGACCGCGGAGUAAAACAAAACCUCCACGAUGAAUGGACUAACCACCCUAAUCAUAGAGCCACAACUCAAAGAAUCAAGAAAUUGACACAACUGACCCAAUAGCUUUGAUCAACGAACCAAGUUACCCUGGGGAUA